UACGGAAGGCAGCAGUGGGGAAUAUUGCACAAUGGGCGCAAGCCUGAUGCAGCCAUGCCGCGUGUAUGAAGAAGGCCUUCGGGUUGUAAAGUACUUUCAGCGGGGAGGAAGGCGGUGAAGUUAAUAGCUUCACCGAUUGACGUUACCCGCAGAAGAAGCACCGGCUAACUCCGUGCCAGCAGCCGCGGUAAUACGGAGGGUGCAAGCGUUAAUCGGAAUUACUGGGCGUAAAGCGCACGCAGGCGGUCUGUCAAGUCGGAUGUGAAAUCCCCGGGCUUAACCUGGGAACUGCAUUCGAAACUGGCAGGCUAGAGUCUUGUAGAGGGGGUAGAAUUCCAGGUGUAGCGGUGAAAUGCGUAGAGAUCUGGAGGAAUCCGGUGGCGAAGGCGGCCCCUGGGACAAGACUGACGCUCAGGGUGCGAAAGCGUGGGGAGCAAACAGGGAUUAGGAUACC
rnacentral:rRNA from 1 species